AGACCUGAGCUGAGGCCAGCUACGUGCUGUCUUUGAGAGUACAGAAGAGAAGAACAUGUCGCUUAGCAACCCCAGCCGGGACUGGGGGGAGGCAGCGAGGGAUGCAUGGUCCAGAGUCACCAAAGGGAAAGAUGCAUCCCCACCAGAAAACUCAACUUCUGAAGAUGCUUCUCCAAAAUAAAGCAAGCAAAUAAACAAACAUGGGGGCUUGCAGAAUGAGAGAAAUCAACCAUCAAACCCCCCAGCCCUGCAUGGCUGAGUUGUGGAACGGAAAACUGCUGCAAAAAAACUGUGUAAGAGGGAGAAUGACAGAACCAGCCCACUUCAGUGUGCUUCACACAGAUGAAAAAUGUCUCCUAAUUAAAUAAAGGUAAAUGGUUAUUCCUGGUCUUAUAUUAAUGAUCAUAAAGGUUAUUUAAAAUCUUCUUAAUUUUUAUGCCACUUCCAUCUCCUAAUGACCUAUAACUUAUUACUGAACAUAUCACAGUACAGUUAAGAGAAGUCUAAAUAUUAGCGGUUCACAUUUCUCCCAGAGCUCAGUACAGUCAAUGCUGUGCUCAGAUUCUGUGGUAAAACUGCAGAUUAUUAGAGCAAAUGCCUACCCCAUCUGCAGGCUAGAAGCUUAUAUAAACUGGCAUCUACUGCAUAUUCCAGCAGUUACAUACAUACUCAAAACUGGACAUUAUUGCACUCUGAAGUAACACUUAAUUUUAUCUAGUAAGGGCAAUGGUAAAUGAUAGCGUGGACUUCAUUAAGACCUAAGUUUCUUAAAUAACUUAAUACAUAAGUAACAAGAUAAUUUUCUGUUACCCAUAUGUAGAAAAGACCUAUAGGUUAGAAUCCUGUCUCCAGUGAGAUCAAUGGGAAUUUCACUAGUUACUGCAGGGGCGCCUAGGUUUUACCCAGGCUCUCUGAGAGGCCGUUUUCUGUAUUGGCAUUGCUCAUGUAAUGUGAUUCUUUGGUGAAAUUUCAAUAAGAGAAAUAUGUAAAGCACUUGGCAUUAAGUGGUCUAACUUUGUUAACAUACAGCAUUUAGAAUGCAAUCGAAAUGAGAAGCAAAUUAUGAUAACUCAGCUGUGACCAUUUCAAUAAAAAAUUCUUCUG
rnacentral:lncRNA from 1 species